UACAGAGGGUGCGAGCGUUAAUCGGAAUUACUGGGCGUAAAGCGUGCGUAGACGGCUAUCUAAGUCGGGUGUGAAAGCCCCGGGCUCAACCUGGGAAUUGCAUUCGAGACUGAAUAGCUAGGGUGCGGUAGAGGGAAGCGGAAUUUCCGGUGUAGCGGUGAAAUGCGUAGAUAUCGGAAGGAACAUCAGCGGCGAAAGCGGCUUCCUGGACCAGCACCGACGUUCAGGCACGAAAGCGUGGGGAGCAAACAGG
rnacentral:rRNA from 1 species